UUUCUCUCGAGAUAGCUGAAGCUUGUGUGAGAAUUUUAUCAAGUAAAGCGAAUGAUUGGAGGCAUCGGGGGUGUAAUACCUUCGACCUAUUCUCAAACUUUACAUAGAUAAGCCGUCAGGUCAAGGAACUGGGACAGAGACUCGUAGUGGAACCGAGACUCG
rnacentral:ncRNA from 2 species